CCCUUAGAUGUUCUGGGCCGCACGCGCGCUACAAUGGUCUUCGCAAACGGAUGCAUUCUCGAAGGAGAAUGCCAAUCUUGGAAUCUAUGCCUUGGUCGGGACAGUUGCUUGCAAUUUUUCGACUCGAACCAGGAAUUCCUUGUAAUCGUGAUUCAUCACAUCACGAUGAAUACGUCCCUGCCCUUUGUACACACCGCCCGUCGCUCCUGCCGAUCGAAGAGUUAGGUGAAUUGUUUUGAUCGAUAAGAUUUGACUAUGGUCAACUCUCGUUGUGAAAUUCUGUGAAUCUGACUGUUUAGAGGAAGGAAAAGUCGUAACA
rnacentral:rRNA from 1 species